rnacentral:ncRNA from 2 species
AUUUUAUCAAAGGUUUCAGGUGCUGCUUAGGUGCAGUCAAAAGGAAAUCCUGUGAAAAUCAGGAGCGGACCCGCCGCUGUAAUCGGGGAUGAACGUCACUAUUGCCACUGUUCAAUAAGUUGGAGUUAACGGGAAGGGGUGACGACUCAAUUGAUCCGGAAGUCAGAAAGCCUGCCUGAAAACCUUUGGUCGU